rnacentral:lncRNA from 10 species
AGUGUUUUGAGCUCAGGAAAUUCCAAAAGUCAGUGGAGCAGAUUAGAAGGAAAGUUCUAGAAAUGAAAUGACAUUGGAGUUCCUAAAAGAAAAGAGAAAGAUCAAAUUAUAGGGCUUGCACUGAGUUUCAAAGAGGAUUGGCAAGAUGGGUUGUAGAAUUAAAUGACAGGCAGAGUGUGUAUGUGGAGAAGGGUUGGUGUAAAUGUAUGUGUGUUGGUGUGUGUGUACACAUGCAUGAGAGAGAGAGGAGGGAAGCAACAGAGGGCUAUUGAUGCAAACCUAUAGCCUAAUUAAUUAUCCACGACAGAAAAAGAAAUUCCUCCUACCCUUGCAAGUUGUCUUGUCUUCCUCUGAAUACAAAGUGUAUACCAACAGAAUCUACCAGCCAACCAGAACAGACCCACUUGGUGAUCCACCACAUGCCAUGUGACACUUUCCUCAGCCAUGGGAGGGGGCAACUCUCAUGUGUAGCUCUUGCUGACCCUUUAAGAAAACCCAUUCCGCAAAGUGGUCUCUUUAGAAUCUAUCCUUACUGGAACUGUGUGUGACCUCUAAAACGGCUGUGCUAAAUUACCCUUGUUUGGAGAACUUCAAAAAAUUAUCAGAUGAGAACUCACAGAAGUUCCCACAAUAGGGCAUCUGCAGGCUGAGGAGGAAGGAGAGCCAGUCCGAGUUGCAGAACUGAAGAACUUGGAGUCCAAUGUUCAAGAGCAGCAAGCAUCCAGCACAGGAGAAAGAUGUAAGCUGGGAGGCUAGGCCAGUUUCUCUUUUCAUAUUUUUCUGCCUGCUUAUGUUCUACCAUGCUGGCAGCUAACUAGAAUUGUGCCCACCCAGAUUAAGGGUGGGUCUGCCUUUGACUCAAACGUUAAUCUCAUUUGGCAACACCCUCACAGACACGCCCACGAUCAAUACUUUGUAUCCUUCAAUCCAAUCAAGUUGACACUCAGUUUUAACAAUCAAAAGUCCAUUCUUGUCAACUUGAACCCAUACACAUUUUCUGAGAUCAUACGUAAUUUUCAAAUAAAGACAAUAAUAAGGUCAUAAUUAUGCCUAACAUAAUACAACUGUCCUAUGUACAACUGGAAAUGCACCAAUCCCCAACCUAGUAACUAUUACAUAAAUUUAACAAUACUUGAAUUGCAGUCAAUAAAUCUUAUGUCAUAUUAUAAAGGAAAAAGGAAAUAAAGUGAAGAUAUGUUCUUACUACAAAUGUAUACAUGCACAAACACGUUUUUAACAAAAGAAGGAGGGAAUACUUAUGACAAUUACAGUCCUCAUUUCUGCAGCUGGUCACAUGGUCAUAGUUGGUAUUGAUGACUAUCUUCUUCUACUACCCAUUCUGUAUUCCCUUUGCCUUCAGCAAGCACCUCAGCAGCUCAUGGUUUUUUUUCCAAGUGGAGUGACCAAAACCUUCAUUCCUGUAGGGUCUGGGUCAUUUGUAGUCCUGCCUGGAUUGGGCUGUUGUAGUUUCCCAUUGACCUUAAUCACAGGGCAUGGUAAUACUAAGAGAUGCCCUAAUGGAUCUCCUGUACUCCAUGAAUACUCUUUCUUACCUCCAUUAUGGAGUAGUAGACUGAUUUCAUCUUGAUAGUCUGGGUCAGUCACCCCAGCCAACACUGUAACUCCCUUCUUAGCCUGUUGACUUAAAGCUAGGAGGAACCCAAAGUGUCCAGGUGGCAAUCUUAACUUCCAGUUUAAUGGAAUAAUUGUUGUGAUUCCUGGUAGCAGCGUUCCUCCCUCUGGAACUAAGACCUCUAG